rnacentral:rRNA from 1 species
ACUUUCAACAACGGAUCUCUUGGUUCUGGCAUCGAUGAAGAACGCAGCGAAAUGCGAUAAGUAGUGUGAAUUGCAGAAUUCAGUGAAUCAUCGAAUCUUUGAACGCACAUUGCGCCCCUCGGUAUUCCAUGGGGCAUGCCUGUUCGAGCGUCA